GCUAACCUCCUCCAACCCACCUCCACCUUAUUUGCACUUUCUCCGUGCAAAUAUCACGCAGCGCGAAGCAGAGUUGUAAAAAAAAAAAGUUAGAUCUUAUCUCCCAGCCGGCGCUCUCCGCCGAUUCCUCUCUCACCGGCGCGGCUCCCCCUAAUCUCUCUCCUCGAUCUUCCACCUUGGAGACGUCCUCCACGCGCCUCCAUACGCCCCCGCAUCCAUGGGUCACCAGCUCGGCUCGGUGCCUCAGCUGGUGUGACGGCCCGGCGUCUACGCACGCGCGGGAGCCAACUUGGGCUCGACGGAGCUGCUCCGCCUCGGCUACCUCGACUUGGACGCCGAAAGUUCAGUAAGGCACUCCUCCCUUCUCCUCUUAUCCUUCCCGCUACUGCCCACCUACAUGACCACCGCACCUCACGCGCGAGCCCGAGGGCGCAAGGCACACCGCCUCCGUGCCCCUUCCCCGCGUCUUAGCGCUGUUCGACGCCACCGCCCAACCCUCCGCUGCGGAAGGUGGUUGAUGCCUUCCCCCCAAGCGACGCCUUGGCGUCCCUCUCCCGACCACGGCGGGAUUCUUUAUUGCGCCUCCAGCAUCUCUGUCUUUAAGGACCUAAUUGUGCUUGACCGUGUGGUUUGAUGUUGUGAAUCACAAGGUAAUAAUAAUUUUCCGUGUGCCUGCACCAAAUCCUUUAAUUUUUUUUGCUUUUAACAGUGUUUGUAUGUCAACCCCUCUAUAGGAAUACAGCAAGCGACACCAUAUGGGAGUUUGGGUACUACAUUUAUGAUCAGUUCCUCUGAAUAAGCACUAAGCAAUUCACACGAUAUUUAUCCAAAAUGAGGAACUGUUUUUGCCAACUGACAACCAUCACAAGUCAGUACUUUAGUUUUGGGUGAAAAACUAAAUGACUUGAUUCAUAUACGAUUAGAAGAAUUAUCUUUCUUUUUAGUGUGCAUUUUCAAUUAAAUUAACAGUAUGCAUUUAACUUUUAGCAGUGAAUGUGCAAGUCAGCUUUAAUGCUAAUCACAAACUGAAAGGCUCACAUCUAUAAGAAAUGACAUCGCCCAUGGGCUUUAGCAUACUCAGUAUGUCAAUAGGAGCAAGAUCAUGCCAUACUUGUCCGCUUGUGAGUUGUGAAUAGAAGGACUAAUAAAUAUUCUCAAUUGUCAGAUGCAUAAAAAAGGUGAUAGUAGUUUCCCUGUGUUAUUAUAGUUGGAUUGCGUUUAUAUUAUUAUGUCAUCGAAGUUAACUAUGGGUUCUGUCAUAUUCAGGGGUUCUGUUCAAAGAAGUAUGCAGCUUGUCUGAAUUAUUCUCGCGGGAGUUGUGCAGAAUCCAGGACAAUUCCUUCUUCCCAUAACCACUUUGGUGUCCUGUUAUUGAACCAAGUAUACAUCACUCAGGUACAUCCACUGCCCAUUUAUCUUUUAUGCCUACAUAUACUGAUAGUGUUCGUAUAUAAUUCUUAUGUAACUCCCAGCUGGCUUAGUAACUAGAAACCCCCGACAAGACCCUCUUUCUGAUAUCUCUAAUUUAGAUCCAUGCUCAAGAAGUAAUACAGGUAGAGCUACUCUUGACUCCCCUCUAUAUAUAUACAUGUAUUGCAGGAUUGUUACUACUGUUCGUAUUUAAAUUUUGUUAUGUUAACAAAAAAUGUUCAAACUAUGUGUAUGGGAUGUCCAGCAGGGCGAACGAUGUGUAUGACUGAUGUAUAUCUCUAGACACCCCUUUGAGUUUCAGUACAAAACAUGCUGAUGUACUCAAGUGGUAUGGGACUUAUUUUGGAAGUGGUUUAUGGAAGAAAAUAAUUUGUAUGCGGAUAUGCUAUGUUCAUUAUACAGAGAUUAUGCUUCUAUUUUGUCAUGCAACCGGUACACGUACAUUGUUAUAGAUAAUUCCAUUGAGAAUGCAUGAAUGUCAAUUCGAGAAUGGCGCCAAAACAACCUGUAUACUGUAUAUUGUUAUUAGUGGGAUUUAUCCCUGAUUCUUAUAUUAGGCCUACUCAGCACUCGUUGUACAUCAAGUUGUGUGUCUACAAUAAUUAAAGGUAAAGCCAUUUGCUAUCACCUCUUCACCGACCAUGUUUUGAUUGUAUUCUCAUCGCAUUUUUUAUUUUCAGCGAUGUAGAAAUGGUAAAUAUUGGAUAGCAUCUUCAAAUUUUUGGAAAUACUCCCUCCGUUCACUAUUAUAAGAACUUUUUUCUGAAUCAGAUGUAUGUAGAUGUGUUUUAGUGUGUUUGUUGACUCGUUUCAAUCCGUAUGUACACCAUAUUGAAAUAUCCAAAACGUCUUAUUAUAGUGAACGGAGGAAGUAUAUAAGCAAAAUCCAUGUCCCUGUUGGCUGAGAAAAAAAUGUGAUUGUUACACUGGUAUGUACUGACCUAGAAUAUAAAUUUGAGGCUGUUAACUUGGGAAAUGGUCAGUAAUGUGUGUUGAUGUACACUAGAAAAAUAUGAUCAAAUGUCAGAAGUAUUUUUCAUGCAGCUAGAUCAGUUAUCUCAUGGCCUUCAACCAUUUUAUUUUGCUUCCUUUUUCAAAUUUAUUGCUCUGUUAACCUGCUUUAUUUAUUCUUUGUUUAAUGAUACAUUACUCAUGUCAGCUUUUUUGUUGUUGUAGAUCGCCCAGAUAAAUGGAUGGUGCAUGACUAAGUUGACUGCAAGGUGGAGAGUGUGGCCACUACCAGAUAGUUUUACAUUAUGUUACAGAAUGUCACUUUCAUGGUCAAUGUAUGGAAAUCAUGUAUACAUUCUUUGGAUUGUGUUCCAUGUAAUGCAACCGAGUGGAUUUAAUAAAUGAGAUCUUUCUCUUUA